UUUCGAAGCGAGGGAGCGCUGCAGCGGGGCGGGCGGGCGGAGAGAGAGGGGGGCAGGCGCGGGCUCUCUUUUGUUGCAUGGGUUUUUAGCCGUUGUUGUGAGUGGGGUGGGGGGGAUUUUCCCCGCCCCUGGUUUUUACCCCCCCGUUUUAUCCCAUUGCAGCCCGCUCCCUUCCCCCCAUGAGCGGCACCGUCUCUGCCCCCCCCGCCGGGGCCAUGCCCGCCAUCCCCUACCCCGUGGAGCUGGGGCUGACGGUGCUGCACACCGCCCUGUACGCCUCCCUCUUCCUCUUCGCCUACCUGCAGCUCUGGCUGCUCCUCUGCUACGGGGAGAAGCGGCUGAGCUACCGCCCGCUCGGCCUCUUCCUCUGCCUGCUGUGGGCAGCGCUCCGCACCGUGCUCUUCUCCUGCUACCUGCAGAACUCCCUGCGGGCCGCCCCGCUGCAGCGCCAGCCGUUCCCCCACUGGCUGCUCUUCUGCUCGCCGGGCUGCCUGCUCUUCGCCGGCCUCUGCCUCCUCAACCUCUACUUCGCAGAGGUUAUAUUCAAAGUCAAAUGUGCAGCAGAAUUCAAUAAGUACAAGAUCCUGUUGUAUCUGGGCUCCAUAUUUAUCAGCCUUCUCUUUCUCGUUGUGAAUUUAACUUGUGCAAUGCUUAUCCAUGGAGAUGUCCCAGAGAGUCGGCUGAGAUGGACAGUAUUUGUUCGGGCACUAGUCAAUGACAGUCUCUUCAUUCUUUGUGCCAUUUCAUUAGCUUGUUGUAUGUGCAAACUUGCAAAAAUGUCAUCGGCAAACGUCUACCUCGAGUCAAAGGGCACAUCUGUCUGCCAGGCCAUUCUUGUCGGUUCAGUAGUUGUUCUUCUGUACUCUUCAAGGGCUUGCUAUAAUCUGGUAGCAGUGGCCAUAUCUCCAGAGAAUGUUCCUAGUCCAUUUAAUUAUGGCUGGGACAACCUUUCGGAUAAGAUGCAUGCAGAAGAAGUCAGUGGUGAAGAAUAUGUGGUGUUUGGAGUAGUCCUCUUCCUCUGGGAGCUUGUGCCAACCAGUUUUGUGGUGCUGUUCUUCCGGGCUCAGAAGCUAACUCAGAACUUGACACCAGCUGGCAUGAUAAACAGUCAUAGUUAUAGCUCCAGAGCAUACUUCUUUGACAAUCCAAGGCGAUACGACAGUGACGAUGACUUGCCAAGACUUGGUGCGAGAGAAGGAGGCAGCUUGGCUACCCCUCCGUGCUCCGGCUGGUAUGGCACUCUGACUGGGAGCGAUAGCUAUGCGGUUAUUCCCUAUCUGAGUGGACCUAAGCCAGAUACCGCCCCGCUGCUCUUCACGUGUAGUGAUUUGGAAGCUAACAAUCACCAGACCUUAUACUCCACGCCGCAGAACUGAAGAGCCCACCAAGAUUCGCUUCUCUUGGGGGCAGCUUUUGUGGGAGUCUGAUCAUUUUCCAAACAUCGAACUUCAUCUGCACAAACAUUCCAUUCUCUCUUGCAGCUGUAAACCAGAACCUGGAGACUUAGGCUGCGUGUGAUGGGAGAGGUGUGGUCAUCCUGCGAAGAUGGGCGCGUCGAUACGUAGGCCAUGCUGCACUCUGCAACCUGAUCCGCUCCAAGGACAAAUGCGCCCUCUUCAGAGAAACAGUGUGGGAUUUACACUAAUGAAGAAAGUUACCUAAUGUAUAAUGUGCCAUAGUCCCACAAGACAAAUGUAGUGUCUCUUUGCUGGGGAUGUGGGCUUACUCUAACUCGGUCCUCGCGGCAGCGGACUGAUAAAAUACUCUUAGCUGGACUGUGGGUUAAAGCAAACCUUCAAGCAUGGGUGUUGCGAAGGCCUUUUAAAAGCCUGAGCUCAAUGGCUUCUACUAGCACGAAGGGCACUGAACAGUAACCAGCUCUGCUCUUUUAAACAACAAAAAAAAAAUGCCCCCUCGAGCGAGCCGCAUGAGUGUGGUUACCAUUAAGCUUGUAGAGAGAACACGUGGCCAUGAGGCAUGCUCCUUGCAGGGUGGCUUCUUCAAGCAAACCUAGCAGUCAGUCUGCAGAAGAGUGGCGUGAGCAUUUUAUUUUGGCCCGAACCCAUACAUAACACAGCUUCUUUCAUACUAGGAUCUGUUCACUGCAUUCCCUAGUGGAGUCAGUGCUUAAUCUGCCUUGGCGAGAAUAGCAAUUUUAUAUUUAACCUGACUGAAUAUAAACUAGAGAUCAUUCUUAGAACGCGAAACUUCUCUUUGCUUUCAUGGCCGCUUUCUCUGACCGAAAUCACGAAGCCUGCAGGAUGGUACCUGCAUGCCACUAUUUGGGACUGCCUCAAAACUUCUAGUUCUCCUGUCUCUUCAGACUGUCUGAGGAAUAAGUGUCCCAUGACAUUCCACUGAAUGUACUGUAAAAGUAGUGCAAUGUGUCCUGAACUGGGGGGGGUCCCCCCGCAUUGAAGUAUUAGAUAAAUUUUGGCAUCUCAUUGCAGGGUGUGCACUGGAGGGUGGGUCUAGUGAGUGAGAAGCAUUUAAUGGAAUGUGUAGUGUUUUUUUAACAUCCAGGAUUUUAUUCUGGCAGGAUGUUGGCCUUUAAAUCACGUUUUUAACUGUGUCUAAAAGCACCCCAUUCAAAAUUGGAAAGCGAGACAUGGCCGUAAGGAUGCACAGGUGUUUGGAUUAGGCUCUAAAGUUAGCUCUUAAAUACACUGUUGGUUUACAUGGAUAGUAGCUCCUACAAGGAAAAGCAUGCCUCUAGGGCAAAGCUGCUCUGGCCAGGGUAGGGCAGCUGCUAUCUCCAGCCUGUAGUAGACUCCCCUGGAUCUCUCCACCUUAGCAUUCCUUUAGAAGCUUAAACUGGAAACGGUUGGCAUACAUUGCUGAUGAGAGGAGCUGGUCCUGCCGAUCAACUGCAUGCUCUUUCCAAGGGUGUGCUUUGUUUUUAAACUUGAAUUAAGAUUUGAUGUUAGAGUAAAACUUCACUGAGGAACUGAACAGGACCACAUAGUCUGUAGGACCGGGGGGAAGUGUCCCUACUAGACAAGUGGGGAUACUGCUGGCAUAUGGAACAUGACUGACGUGACUGUCUAGCCUUUAAAAUGCUGAUUCCCAGGCUCACAGCUGUGUGUGAGACACACACACACACACACACACACACACACACA